GUUAUGCAUUGAGGUUAUCUUUUGCUUUGUUUUGUUGUAUUUUCAUGUAUUGUGUUUAUACUCUCUCCUUAGCCUGCCGCGUGUGCUUUUAACUUUCCACCUGCCUUUUCUGCCACGCUAUAUCCCAUCACAAUCUCAUAUUUAGUUUUAUUUCCUCUUUAUGCCUUUUAGAGAGAGGGGGGGGGGGGUCAGGUGAGAAAGAAGUGGAGACUCCGACGGUGCACGAUAGGCAUGGAGCUCUUCCAUGGAACUGAACGACGUCGGAAGAGAUGGAGCUAGGAUUCCGGGGAUUGGUCUCCGGUGUAAACUUUUUUUUUAUUCCUUUUAUCUUGAUUGAGUUCUCUUACUUUAGGUUGAAAUUUGGAUCUCCACCAUGGUAUAGGUGACCGGUUACAAGGACUCACGGCGGCUAGGGUUUUUAAGAUUCCGGUGAGUUCACUUUUUUUAUUGGGACGUGCUCAAAUUUGAUUGUAGUGUUCAGAUAGGGUUUGCUUGCUCAUUGUGUUUUGUAGGUUGUUUAUGGUGAGUUACAUCAAUCAAAGCCAACCCCCUAUUAGUGCUCCUCCUCAUCUAGCAGCUUCUUUUGUCAAUUUGGAUUUUCGUUUGGUUUGAUUUGUUUAGUUUAUGUAUUAUUUAAGAAGUUUUAGAGUUGUGGUUUACGAAUUGAUUGGUUUGAGUCCACAAGGUUAACAGAAGGGUGAGGGAAACACCAAAAAAAACCCCUUGGGGUUAAAGUGUUGAAAAUUUAAUACAUGGCAGAUUAAUCAAUUCAAUUCAAUUCAAUGUUCAGGUUAAGUGUUUCAAGUGUCAAUCAACUGAUGGAAAACGUGAGUGAGCUAGAGAAGUAUGUGUAUGUAAGCUAAAAUAAUUGCAACUAAUGUUUUUCAUCGAGUAUUAUGUGAUGUUAUGUAACCAAUGAACUGUGAACGUGAAUAUGUUACCACGAAGGAGAUAGACGCCCCAUGAGUGGCGGAGCUUCAGAUUUCCGACCGGGGGGGUCGGAAACGUAUAUACCUAGAAAAAAAUAUAAAACCGGGGGUCGAAAACGUAUAUGCCUAAAUAAUUCUAUACGAAAACUACAUACCGGACACUACUGAGUGAAAGUUCGGGGGGUCGGGCGCCCAGGAGCACGAAUGGUGGAUAAGCUUGGACAUGCUAAGAUAUUAAUCACGUGAGGUAUGUAAUGUUUAUUUUGCUGAACUUUGAUGAAUGUAAACUUGGAAGAGAACAGACUUGAAGCGCAGUCAAGUGACCUGUUAAGGAGAUUUUGAAUCAGUUGCUAUGUGUUAAUAUCUUUUUAGUUAAUGUGCAGGUUGGACAUGUUUUCAAUGGGUUCCAUAUGGUUUUGAAAUUCUUGGUUGAUAUUAAAUGUUGUAUACUAAAUGGUUUGGUGCAUAAAAGAGGAAAACGGCAUGCAGUGGUGUAUUAUUCAAAAUACGCCAUGUUAUGCUAGGUGGUUUAGGUAACAUUUUUUUUUUCAUUUAUCCUGUUUUCAAGUAUGUUUUGAUUAUUCACGCAUUUACCUUUGCUAACUACUUUGUUCGCAUAUACUCUCCGGACUAAUGGGAGAAUCAUGAUUGAACCUUGAGAUGGAACUAUUCAAUUUAAGACCACUAUAGUGCUAUGUCGAAUAUAGUGUUUUGACUUAAUUAGGAGGCUAAUAUGGUUCUUUGCUAUAACUUGGUGAUGUAUACUUUAUGCUUCGAGGUCUGUUAGAUACUACGAUUUUAAUUGUUGUGAUAGGAUUCAGGUUACUUUGAUGGGGAACCAUUGAGUAUGGAAGAAACAUGAUGGAUGUUAACAAAAUGAGCCAUGUUUUGAAUGCUAUCAAAAGGGGUAGGUGAUGAGGACUCUAAUCACAACUAUUGAGAGCCGACAGAACACAUGAGUACACCAUGGACUGCUUAUAAACUGGAUGCUGAACACUCGAGUUUAGAAAGGAUAUAAAACAUCAUCUUUUUAUGCCUUCGUAUAAUAAACCUAAUCAUAAUCGAGUUACUUACCUUUCUAUGCCGAUUUUUAUUUGGUUGUUCAUUGUAUAGUAAAACAAUUCAGAAUCAAAGUACUUAAGUUUCUACACCGUGUUUCCAUGCCGCCGCAACGCGGGGCGGGUAAAAAUCUAGUUAACCCUCAAGUUUGAUGUUA